GACUAUAUAGUUGCCUUAGGGCCUUAGGAUGAUUAUGAACCUUUGUUUAGAUUCAACAUGAGCCUUGUGUUGAAUCUCGGUCUAGGGAUGGAGAUUGAUUUUAGUUACGCGUUUAAUCACAUUAAGGCGUGUUGUCUUAGGGGCGUUGGACCCAACUACUUCAUUUUCAUGCAUAUCAUAUAAAGCAAGAAAGAAGUACUUCAAAGUAAAGGUGAGCUGAUGCUCAUUACAACAUUUGCAUAAAACAAAUUACUUUAAAGUAAAGAAGAGCUUAAGCCCUUUUACAACAUUUGAUCAAAUCAAAUUACAACCAAAAUUAAUCUACACAUUCCCAUGGUUCAAACAAAUUUGAAACGGCCUAUCACAUAGCUCAAUUAUAUUAGGCUUAGGUUCAUAAUCACCCUUUAAUUAAUUAACAUUUUAACUAAUUAAAUUGAAUGCAACAUUUUCAUUUGGUUUUUGUAUCCAUAAAAUUGAUUUAAAUGGAGCUAAACAAAAUGAAAAUCCAAUUCUCAUUUAAAGAGACAAAACAAUUUUGUUCUCUACUUAAUUUGGGCCAUCUUGCAAUAACCACAACAUUUGGGCUAUAAAGCAAUUAACCUCAACUUUUGGGCUAUAUUGCAAAACUUUUGGGGUCACUUUGUAAAGACACAAAAGUCCACUACUUCAUGUAAUUACACUAGAACCCAAAAUUUAAUCAAUUCAAAAACUUCAUUAAAGGAGCAAAACAAUUUGUCCUUUAGCGUUUUUGGACCUAAACGUAAAAACGUAAACUUUUGGGCCAAAGUGCAAAUACACAAAAGUAUCAAAACUUUAUGUAAUUGCAUAAAAGACCCAAAAAACACUCCCUUUGAGGGAGGGCCGGUUUUAGAGAGGAGUCCACAAAAAUUUUUGAAAAAAUUUCAACUAAGUCAUAAAGCCAUGCAAGUGGAAAUAGUUUGGUGUGAACAAAGCCUUGCAAGUGGUGUGUGUGUAAGAGAAGUACUUCUUACACACCCAUCACCAUUUCUAUCACCUUUCAAAAUUUCAAUAAAUGUUUUUGAUGGAUAAGUCACACCCACCAACACAAAACAAAGACUUUAUGAAAUUAAUCAAAACUUUGAAUCAAAACACAAACCUUUUUGUUCUUGGCAAAAAUGUCAAGAACAAUGAAGAACAUUCAUGAAAACCCAAAAUUUUUCCAUGAACAUUUUUCACCCAAAAACAUUCCAAAACCAUUUAAACUUUAGGGAAAUAACAUCUAACCAAACUAGGGUACAUAGGGGUUCCAAAAGUCACCUUAAAACACUUUUAACAAGUCAAACAAGAACCCAAAAAUCCACCCUUUGGAUUUGGCCUAAUUUUCCCAAAGUCAUGGCACCAAAUUUUAGCUCCAAUAUUCAUGCUCAUAUGAACUACAUCUACAACAUUUGAGAUGGCAAAUUUUCUAACAAAAUUUAUAUUCAAAGAAACAAGAAUAAAGCUUGUAACAUAUUACAACUUUUAAAUCAUUAACUAUGAACAACAAAACCCAAAAGGAUUCACCAACUACUAGACCUAGGCUCUGAUACCACUUGAAGGAAUAUUUUGUGAAAACAUGUUCAUUUGAAUAACAUCUAUAGCAUGCUAAUAACAAUUAAAAGGCGGAAUCAUGCUUGCAUGCAUUCAAAAACAAAACAUUAACCAAGAAAUUCAAAGCCUAGUAGAUUGGUGAACCAUUACUCAACUCAAAACAAAGUGAGUUGAGAUUUAUACCUUUGUAGAUUCCUCUUUGCAUAAGCAAAG
rnacentral:lncRNA from 1 species